AGUUUACUCUUAGCUUCCAAAGUCGAUCAAACGAAAACCUAACGUUGUCUGGUCUAUACCCGAGUAGUUACGUCGACUCGAUCGGAGUGACAAGGUACAUUGCCGUAACGCAGAUGGCGGCAACGCUGGCGCGGGAAGUAUUUCCUUGCUGGGACGAGACGAGAUUCAGAGCCACGUUUCAGUUGACUCUCAUACAUGACGAAAAGCACAUCGCCUUGUCGAACACCGACACAGCGCAUCAGCGAGCGUGGAGUAAAGGUUGGGUAGCCGACACAUUUGAGCAAACGAUAGAGAUGCCUACAUAUCUCGUAGCGAUCGUCGUGUGCGACUUUUCAUAUAAAGCGAAGCGAAGCA